rnacentral:rRNA from 1 species
AUUGAACGCUGGCGGCAGGCCUAACACAUGCAAGUCGAGCGAGUGGCGGACGAGUGAGUAAUGUCUUGGAAACUGCCCGAUGGAGGGGGGUAACUACUGGAAACGGUAGCAAAUACCGCCUACCACCCGAUGUUCCGAGAUGGGAUUAGCUAGUAGGUGGGGUAAAGGCUCACCUAGGCGGCGAUCCCUAGCUGGUCUGAGAGGAUGACCAGCCACACUGGAACUGAGACACGGUCCAGACUCCUACGGGAGGCAGCAGUGGGGAAUAUUGCACAAUGGGCGCAAGCCUGAUGCAGCCAUGCCGCGUGUAUGAAGAAGGCCUUCGGGUUGUAAAGUACUUUCAGCGAGGAGGCGUUACUCGCAGAAGAAGCACCGGCUAACUCCGUGCCAGCAGCCGCGGUAAUAC